GGCGGUGUAGCUCAGAUGGCUAGAGCGUCCGGUUCAUACCCGGAGGUCGUGGGUUCGAUCCCCUCCGCCGCUA
rnacentral:tRNA from 1 species